rnacentral:ncRNA from 1 species
AGGAGCCGGAUGCGGUAGUCCCGCACGUCCGGUUCUGUGGGGGUUCGGUCCGGUUCCGCCGGACCGUUCUACCCGAC